rnacentral:rRNA from 1 species
AUUGAACGCUGGCGGCAGGCCUAACACAUGCAAGUCGAACGAGAGGCGGACGGGUGUGUAAUGUCUGGGAAACUGCCCGAGGGAGGGGGAUAUCUACUGGAAACGGUAGCGAAUACCGCAUACCAUCGGAUGUGCCCCGAUGGGAUUAGCUUGUAGGUGAGGUAAAGGGUCACCUAGGCGACGAUCCCUAGCUGGUCUGAGAGGAGGCCCAGCCACACUGGAACUGAGACACGGUCCAGACUCCUACGGGAGGCAGCAGUGGGGAAUAUUGCACAAUGGGCGCAAGCCUGAUGCAGCCAUGCCGCGUGUAUGAAGAAGGCCUUCGGGGUUUAAAGUACUUUCAGCGGGGAGGCGUUACCCGCAGAAGAAGCACCGGCUAACUCCGUGCCAGCAGCCGCGGUAAUAC